UACGAAGGGGGCUAGCGUUGCUCGGAAUCACUGGGCGUAAAGGGUGCGUAGGCGGGUCUUUAAGUCAGGGGUGAAAUCCUGGAGCUCAAUUCCAGAACUGCCUUUGAUACUGAGGAUCUUGAGUUCGGGAGAGGUGAGUGGAACUGCGAGUGUAGAGGUGAAAUUCGUAGAUAUUCGCAAGAACACCAGUGGCGAAGGCGACUUACUGGACACAUAUUGACGCUGAGGUGCGAAAGCGUGGGGAGCAAACAGG
rnacentral:rRNA from 1 species